UCAGAUCCAGUCCCUAAAAUCCAUCCUCCUCAGUACCAAGCUUCUUGUACCAGAGUAAUUUGAGGACUUCUGGCUCCAUCCAGAAAACUCCGAUCUGCAAAGCCCUCACUACAGAUAACCAGUGCGAAAGGUCACGGCAUCGCAGAGCUACGGAGGAGAGAGCUGUGCUGGACACGUGCUGAUGGCCAGAGUUGAUGUCACAGUGGAUGAGGCUGAUUUAAAUACAGCAUAUCUACUCUGGUCGUUGAGGGGACUCUGACGGCAAAUGUUUCAGAAGCAGCACGACGAUGACAAAUGAAGACAAACUUGAGUGUGAGUGUGCACAGAUAAAGCCCUCCGAGAGAAGAACAGGUGUUUCAAAGGGGAGGA